rnacentral:rRNA from 1 species
UACGUAGGGUGCGAGCGUUUGUCCGGAAUUACUGGGCGUAAAGAGCUCGUAGGUGGUUUGUCGCGUUGUUCGUGAAAACUCACAGCUCAACUGUGGGCGUGCGGGCGAUACGGGCAGACUGGAGUACUGCAGGGGAGACUGGAAUUCCUGGUGUAGCGGUGGAAUGCGCAGAUAUCAGGAGGAACACCGGUGGCGAAGGCGGUUCUCUGGGCCUUACCUGACGCUGGAGGAGCGAAAGCAUGGGGAGCAAACAGG